ensembl:lncRNA
UUAUUGUUCAGUUUAAAUGCAUUUUAGGUUUUUAUUUUCCCUGUUACGGCAAAGUAUCUAAGAAUAUUCCCGACGUUAAAAAUCUAGUUUGGCCUUCAGAUACAGAUAAUAACGUUUAGGCUGUUUUUCGCGGUUUAUCUUCGUUGUUCUUGUUCUGAAAUGACUGAAGACCUGAAAUGAAGGACAGUACUGUUUAAAUGCUGCUGAUAUCACUUCCUGUUUACAGAUGUAAAAGGCAGAGGUAUGAUGAUGUAGUACACGUUAACUUUCCACUCUACACAUGUUGUGUAUGAUGUAGUACACAUGUUGUGUAUGAUGUAGUACACAUGCCUACCUUCCACUCUACACAACAUUUCAGUUUGACUGAUCUCUAAUGACCUUGGUGAUUCUAAUUGGUAGGUACUGACUGACUAGUUUAACCCAAACAACACAGAGACAGAAAGGUAUGCAGACAGACAGAGGAUCAGAUCACCACAGACAGGUUUGGUCUUUGUUCAUGUCCCCAUCCACUAACACACAGUAGACCGUCCCCAUCCGCUAACAAACAGUAGACCGUCCCCAUCCGCUAACACACAGUAGACCGUCCCCAUCCACUAACACACAGUAUGAGACUCAAAUGACCCAAUAUUACCUGUGUGGUAAGUCAGCCUCGUCAGAGUCAGAAAGGUUGGCUCUGUUUCUCCUGUUUCUGUAGUGUGAGGCAGGACACUAGUCUAUCUCCUGUUUCUGUAGUGAGGCAGGACGCUAGUCUAUCUCCUGUUUCUGUAGUGUGAGGCAGCUUGAUGUACAAGUACACCCCCUAAACAGGAUGCUAGUCUACCGCAAGGUCCUAUGGACAGUGGUCUGGCCAAAAGUAGUGCACUACAGAGGGCAUAUCGGUGCCAUUAGGGACGUAAUGACGGUAAAAUAGAAUGCAUUGGUGUUAAACAAGUGUCCGUCCCCACCCUCAAAUCAGGAGCUACAUGGCCAACUGGUCCAGAGAUGGUUCUAGAACCUGCACUUCAUUCUAUAAUUGUUCUGUCAUGUGACCUGGCACUUCCUGUAGUUUAGUGUACUUCCUGUCUGUAUCACAGCCACAAAG